UUGCCAAUCCGCUCCGCCCGCGCGUCAAAACCCUAGCCGCCAGCCCUGCUCGUCCCCUCCUUCCCGCUCCCUCCAUCCUCUCCCAUGUCGCCGCCCUUCUUCUCCCCGCUCGCCUCGGCCGCCUCCUCUCCUCCGCCGUGUCGUCGGACCCCUCCCUCCUCCUCCCUCCUCCUCCCUCCUCUUAGUACCGUGCCAGCCGCCGCCCAAACCCUAGCCCCCAUUUCCCUCGAUCCCCGCAGUAACCACAUCCACAACCACCCGCUCCUUCUCACAGCCGCCGCACCAUUCCUCCCUUCCGCCCCUCCUCCUUCCCGGAUCCCCACCACGGCACCGACCUACAGGAAAAGGGCGACAGCGGCGGCGCUCAGUUAGAUCUGUAGGAGAGAGAAGAUGAGAGGGAGAGAGAGGAGGGAGAAAGAGAGGAAGAGGAGAGGAGGCACGGCGUCAGAUGGGAGAGAGCAGGGGAGGGCCAAGAGGCCAGCGGUGUGGGGUGGAGCAAUGAGGCCGAAGACCGGGCAGCGGACGCCUCACGGGGUGGAGGAGAGGCUGAUGGGCGGAGCCGUUCGCUCGCCGGACGUGGCGGCGCCAGGUUCCAGAUCGAACGCAGGUUAGGUGAGGGCGUGAGGCCGAUGGUGGUCCUUCUCAACCCGAGCUCACCUCACCCUCGCGACGGCGACCAGCAGCUCGAGUAGGAAUGGUAAGGGCCCGUCAAGAUCUGGCCGGCGCCGUGCUCCCUGGCGCCCGCACACAGCGGGCCGUCCUCUGACGGAGCAUAGGAGCAGCGGUCGCGGUUGGACGCCAUGAGCUGCCUGAGGUGAGGAACGGGCGCGCCCAACACCGUCCUCCAAUAAGUCCUUCCCGGCAGAGAAAGCCAGCUCUCAGAUUUCAGUAAGGAAGGCGCGGCCACCAUGCCAUGUCCAUGGCACCACCGACCCUUCACCCGCCUCCUCUUUGAAGUGCAGCACCAUCGUACCCCCUUUGGCCCUUCCCUUCCAGUUUUGCCUCACCAUAGGAGGAAGACGGGAGCUGCCUGCCUGCCUGCUACCCCAAAAGGAUGCGCCACCCAGUGGAAAUGCCUCUGGCUUACUGGUUUUGGUUCAGUUUGAAGGGUUCUCGGGGCAAAAGAUAAUUGAGUUGUUGAAUCUAAAUGAUUACACUCAUGACUUUCAGACUGCUGAACAUAUUUGAUACAUCUUCCACCUCCCCGCUACUACCACCAAGCACGGAAAGACUGUGAUUGCAGCAACAACAAUGACUCGUUUCACUCUUUGUCUCAUGAUGAUUGGUUGGCUGCAGGGGCGCCGCGAGGAGUGGAGGAUCGAGGUUGUGGGUUGCCAGCUUCAAAUUUUGGUUGAGCACUUCCUCAAGAAUCUUGUUGAGGUGUCUGUUUCCCCUCUUUGUGUCAUGAAUGAUUGUGUUGGCUGCAGGGUCUCCGCAAGGAGUUGAAGGCUGAGGUCAUGGUUGCCAGCUUCAAUUUUUUGCUGAGCAAUUCCUCAAGAGUCUUGCCAAGAUCUGAGGAUGAAGGGAAGAAGAAGAAUUUAACUAAAGAGUUGAAGAAGAUGAAGGUGAAUUUUCUUCCCUUUGUUCUUCUAUUCUGAUGUUAAGAUUUGUGAUGGCUAGAUGAGAUUUGUGGUGAAAAUUUCCCAUUCUUUUAUUUACCUAUAGAUCUUGAAUGCACGAUUGAUGAUUUUGCUGGAUAGGUUACAAAUCUAAAUAAUAAACAUUUUUAAAUGAUGUGGUUGGUACACAUGCGAAGCUAAGAAAAUAAACAUUUUUAAAUGAUGUGAUGGCUAGAUGAGAUUUGUGGUGAAAAUUUCCCAUUCUUUUAUUUACCUACAGAUCUUGAAUGCACGAUUGAUGAUUUUGCUGGAUAGGUUACAAAUCUAAAUAAUAAACAUUUUUAAAUGAUGUGGUUGGUACACAUGCGAAGCUAAGAAAAUAUAUAGUUUACUCACAGUGUUGUUUGAUCCAUUGUUGUGUGGCAGGCUCGCUGAUGGUCUGGCAACGCUGCAUAUACAUCUGAAUGUCAAUGAUAGUAUGGUUUAGAUAGACAAGUUAAUAAUUUCUUUUUUCUUGAAUGCCAAUGAUAGUAUGCCAAGAGGAAGGGUAAUUCGUGCAGGGGAAUAAACCCUACAUGGUAAUCAAGGGGAACAUGCUUUAUAAGUUGUGCUUUUUGUAAGGUAAGCUGUGUUUUUCGACCCGUUGUUCUUUAGAUAUCUUCCUUUUACAUUUUUUGUAUGCGAUGGUUAGUUGAUCAGGCUGAGUGCUUCUUUGCAGUGCUUGCUUUGUUGGAACAUGUUCAUUUGGCUAAUAAGACAGUACACAUCUCUCUUGAAUUAUGUGCAUCUCCUUUUUAGUUAUUUGAUUUUUUUAGUGACUCGCUAAUUGGAAAAUCAGGAUGCUAAAACUUGGCAUAAUGAAUUCUUGAAUUACGUACUUCUUAUUGUGCAUGUCAAACUAAGGACUAAAUAUAUUUUUAGUUGAGCUAUUGUUUUGAGUAUUUCCCUGCAACAACUUAAAUUACUUUUUGCAAAUAAAAUGAGCUAGCAUAUGCUAUACUUGCAAUGGUAAAUUAAUUAUGCAGUUCUGAGGAUUGAGGAAAUUAAUGGUCAGUGGUCAUUGAGGUUUUGAAAGAGCCAUCAAGGCAACAAUCUCAUUUCAUCUCAUGCAUUGAUUUUGUUAUCUUCUUUAUAUGGCAUUUUAUUAAUUAUUUAUAUAUAUUUGCCGUAUUGCCGUUUCUAAAAAUUGUUGUAUCCUUUGUCCCCAUUUCCGUAUCGCCGUAUCUGUGUUGCCGGUGCACCAUAACAAUCACUUAUUGAAGAAAAAUGUCCCUUUUCUUGUUCCCAUUGCUCGAUAGGCAUGAUCGCAUUUCUACUGAUUGAUUAUAAAUAUGGCCUUUCUUUUGAUUAUUUGGUGGUACUUCUGAUUGGCACCAUGAGGUGCUUCUUUGUCGUGUAGAUUCAUCCUUUACUUAAAUACUGAUGAUGAUAUGGUUGUAAAUUAGUCUGGUAUAUGCCAAUAGUUGUCUCUCCCAGAAGAAUUUUUGUGAGAAUAGCAUACCUAAAGAGUUGGUUGUUUGUCUGGAUUGAACACCCAGCUAUAAGAAUGGGUUGACAACACCGAUUGACUCUAUUGGCGCUUCUAUGUUGUCCAGCUUCAUCAUUUACUUAUACACUGAUGAUAUUGUUGUCAGCGUGUUGUAAGUACUUUGGGAAACAAGUGUGGUAUAUUACAAUGAUGUAGUCCUACAGAUCAGUACAGGUCACCGGCUUUAUAUUGUGGUCAGCGUGUUGUAAGUACUUUGGGAAACAAGUUCUGGGGUAAGUUUAUCUGCUUUCUCAUGCAUUUUAAUACUUGAUUGAUGUCCUGAUAAUUUGUGAAGUUCUGUGUACCAUGUGAUAAGCUGCACAUCAGGUUGCCUGGCAGCUUGUUUGUUGCUUUUAGGAUGUGCAUGUACCCAGGUGGAUCAAAUACAGAUACCAAUCAUAUAUUAUUAUUUUUACUCGUGUGUUUUUCUUGUGCCUGCCAAACAUUUCGAAAAUUGAUUAUAUCAUUCAGAUGUAUUCAGGCUGGGUUUCUGUGAUCCAAAAAAAUCAUCUGCCAUGGCUUUCUUUUUUACAUACAAAACUAAGUGUGGAGCAGUGUAUAUGUUCAUUGCUUUCUUAUCACAUCGCAUUUGUCGGAGGUGCUGUACUGAUUUGAAGGAAAUGCUUUUAUAUUUCCAAGUUGAUCAACUACACAACUUCUGAUCCUAAAGUAUGUCAAUGCAGCUCCAUGUUGUGCUAUCUUGCUAUUGGGCUCUUUUUUCGUUACUUAAAAUGGUCAGGUAUCUCUGAUGUUAAAUUCGUGGUUGAUUGCUUAUAUCCAAAAUAACUAUGUUAGUACACUGAAGCCAAUUUCUAAAUUGUUAGUGAAGUUGGCUAAAUAGUUUUUACGCCACUAAGAUAUAUAUGUGCACUGCAUUCUAACCCUGUAAAUUGUUAUGCUAUUAGUUUAAUCCAGAAUAUAAUUAUGUUAGUACACUCUGCAAUAUAAUUAUGUUAUAUUCUGCUUUUGUCAGUUUGCUGGUCCAUAUUAAUUUCCUUGAGCUUAUUUUCACAUCUCGUCAUAUUUACACCUCUCCGCCAACUGCCACCUAUCAUGGAGGGAGAUGGCUUGGCCAGGCCAUCAACACCCAUCGGCAACUUCCGGCAGGCGCCGUCCCGUUCUUUCUCCCCUUACUCUGAUGCCUUCAUGGCCAAAAUCAUUAGCAGGAGCAAGAAGGUUAAGCACCUAUUAUGGUUAAAGCUUUGUCUCUUUUGUGUACUAUGCAUGAUUGAUCUGAUUUUGCUGGUCAGCUUACAAAUUCAAGUAAUACGACUAUUGCAAUGCAUCUUACUACGUGUGUAUUUAUUUGCAUUGAUAUUUUCUCCUCCUUAGGCUCCAAAUCGUUUGUGGGUCAUAAAUUAUUGUGCAUUAUUGAUGAUUAAUUUGCAAUUUAAAUGACAACAGGGCUGGGUUUUAUAAGUGCAAUGGCUUGAAAUGUGACCUUCCAGUCAAGAAAUUUCCUCAGUGAGAAGCUUAUGUGAAGAAUGAUGUAAUUAAGUUAGCAAUUUACAGUUCUCUUUGAUAAUUGUAACUGAAUUGUCAAUGGCCAGUUCUCUUGAAUAAUGAGUUACUCCCUCAAUUUUACAAUAGAGAUAAUUUGUCAAAA